rnacentral:lncRNA from 13 species
GAGACAAAAGAGGGGCCGGCGGGGGGAAGCGGCGCGGGGAACGGUGGGUCUCUGGCGGGGCGGUCCCGGCCCAGCGCGCGCCGAGGCCUGCGGAGCUGGCGGGGACAGGCUGGGCCGCCCCUAGCUCAGUCCUCCGUGCGCCCGGCUGCCUCCUCAGCUUCGCCCGAGCCCCGCCGGCCUCCCCGCUGCGGCUGGCUCCUCCCGGCCCGCUCUGCACUCCGGACUCACCCGGACCCCGGGAAACACAUCCUCCAGCCCUCGGCGCGGAGCGGGUGGGCGCGGCGGGCCGCCGGGGCAAAGCGGGGCCCGGCUCGGCCUCCGCCCUCGGCUUGCAGCGGCCCCGGCCCGGCUGCCCCUCGAUCGGGCCGUGCGAUCUUCGCCUCGCGCGGACGGACGCACCGAGCCCAAGCCUUCCUGCUCGCCCUCGGUCCUCCUCCCUCCUCCCUCCUUCUCCAAGCCCGGCAGGCGGAUUCCAAUCUCUGCAGCCGCCGCCGCCGCCGACUCUCGCUAGGAGGGGAGGGGGCGGCGCGGGAGCGGGUGCUUGGGGGAUGGGCAGGCGUCCGCAGGCCUCGCACGGCGCGCUCGCACUGGGAGGGCGCCCGCCCGCGCCGCGCGCACCCGACUCCGGGCUCCGGCCCCGCCCCGCCCCGCCCCGCCCCGGACCGGACACGAAAGGAGCCGAGCUCGCGGCGGAAGCGCCCGAAGGGUCCACGGAGCCCGGCGCCCCGCUGCCGGGGAGACGGGCUCGCGGCCGGCAAGGGGGCGCCGAGCUGCUGGUGGUGUAGUGGAGGGGCGUCUCUCCUCAGCGCUGGCCCGCCGGCCCCUCCCCACGAGCCAGCCCCAUCGCCGCCGCCGGGUCCCACGGACGCGGUUGAGCGCACGCGACGGAGGGGAGCACGGACGCGCGGCCAUCGGCGCCUGCGACGCCCGCUCCGGCCAUCAGGGCCCGGGACCCCCGCUCUUGCGGGCUCUUUCACGUGGACCCCCUCCUCCGACCGACACUCACACUGCAGUGAGCGCCAGUCAGCUGGCGUGAAAUAA